CUCUUACAGACCUCAUUUAGGGGUUGGCAGUGGGGGGUAUCUUGCUGUGUAUCGCUGUGUACCUGAGGCCUUGCAAAGGCUCAGCACCACCUUCUCCAGCACACACUGCAGCAGCUGGAUGGAGGAUGGGCUCUCAGACAGAACUACUCAAGAUUAUCUGUGAGACUUACAACAUAGCUCAAGGAGACUAAGCUUUUACUUCAGUCUUGACUCCCUGAAGCUGCUCUAUACCACAGCAGAUCUUCCCAUCACUUCUCAGUUGCCUCUGCGAUACCAUCCUCAGGACUAUUUUCUGUCUGCAGAGCAUUUCUGUAGUUCAGAAGUGCCAAGGCUCACCGAAACACAGCUGCACCUGGUGCUUGCUGAGCUAGGGCACACCUGUGAGCAGGCCUUGCUCCUUGCCUGGUGCUGGUGAUUCACAGAUCACUCUUCUAUCGUACCCUACUGUUCUCAGCUUUAGCACUGGCAGAUAUCCACUUAACUCAGUUUGGUGCUCCAGGUAGGAAGAGAAGCCUUGCCUGUCGCCAUCUGAACAGUCCACUGGUGAAGGAUUGCAGCAGGGCCUGGCCUGGCAUUGCAGGAUGUAGUAAUUGGUGUCUUUCUUACUCCAAAAUCAGCCACCACCAUCCAGCCAGAAGGGAAAGGCAGGCUGAUGCUCUGGAGGGGACAGAGGCUGAUGCGAAUAAAAGGGAGCACUCUUCUGGGGGCUGCAGCCAGGGAAAGUGGGCCUUUCCAUUAGAUGCUAUGGGCCACAUGUCCCUGGGAGGUGAAACUCCCCGCUCUCCCACACAGAGAAGGCAGCCAUUUUGCUCAAGAGCUCAGCUGUGCUGAGCUGUGCAUUACCCUGCCUAAAAUGAGGAAAAACAGGUGGUCCAGACAGCCUGUUUGAGGUUGUCUAAAGCUGUACUAGGCUAAAGCAGGAAAAACAAAACUUUUAAAUGCUGGAAGGCUGUUUGAAAUUCCCUUCCCAGGAAACACUUCAGACAGCUAGCUGGCAAAAUCUGGAUGUGACCCAGUCUUCCAUGACAGAACAACCGUUUUCUUUCAGUCUCCCCUCUCCCUCUCCUUGUUCCUGGACACUUUAUCAGCUCUACUUAUUGUAAUUGUAUUUAUUUUCCUGCUUGGUGGGUACAU
ensembl:lncRNA